rnacentral:tRNA from 1 species
GGCGAGAUGGCCGAGCAGUCUAAGGCGCUACGUUAAGGAGUUCCUUAAUAACAUCACCAUCUUUCGAGAUCUUGGUUUCGUAGCCCGAAAGGGCGUGGGUUCGAAUCCCACUCUCGUCA